AGGACACAGUCAUGGCUUUCUGAGACCUGGUUCAGUUUAUUUAUGAGCUGGUGAUUCUCGUUCCGGAGCCAAGCCACCUGUGACAGGAGUUCAUCUAGGUGUCUUUGCUUUCGCAUUCUUGAUCUUCGUGCAGAUUCUCUGUUAGAUAUCAUGCGUCGCUGCUUUCUCUCAUUGAUGAUGCUCAGUUGCUGCUCAUCUGCUUCAUCAGAAGUUGAGUUGUUGCUGAAACAUGGGGACUGUAGGUUGAGUUCCUGAACUUGAGGGUUGAAACUGAAAUUGCAUGAAGGAUUCAGCGCAGAGAGCUUGGGUGGCAGAGGCUGGAGGAGAAGGGCUAUUAUAUACUGCAAGAAAGUGGCUUAAGCGGGAAACAAAGGUUUAUCGCCCGGACCAUUUCGGGUUUUUGCUCAAUCCAUACCAUCAGCAUCUCUCUGAGGUAUAUCGGACGAAACUUCCUGUGUUGAGAACAGUUGUCUAAUAUUUGCUUUUAUAUGUCAAAGAGGUGAUCAUCCCUCAAAAAAUUUCAACCCUGCAUGCAUAUCGUGCAUGUAGAACAUGAUUUGUUUUCAGCAUCCACGGAAUUCUACUUUGAACUCUGUCUUCAGGGUAUAGUUUUUUGUCUUCAUGGAUCACGCUUGUAAACAAAAAGAUGUUGCAAGAAGCUACCAGGACAGGACCUUACUUCCACGAGAGUAAUUGGAACUAAGGGAAAGGUGUUAGGCGGGCUUGGCUUGUCUUCUUCUGGUGUCCAAAUCUUAGCCGGUUUAUUAUAUUCCAUUUGCAAAAAAGGCGACUUCUUUAAAUUAUGUGCAUGUACAUUUUACAUAUAUAUAUAUAUAUAUAAUUUUAGAUCUUAGAUCUUGUCUUUGUAUUUAUGUCACAAGCUGUGUAUAUGUAUUUGAAUAUAACAUUCUGCAAUGAAAACACCUAUGGAUGAAUUCCCGUUAUAUUUUUAUUUUUGCAACUAGUUAUCUAGGACCAAUACCUAGACUAAUCGCACGGAGUCAGAAGUCAAUCA